rnacentral:rRNA from 1 species
CGUAGGGUGCAGGCGUUAAUCGGAAUUACUGGGCGUAAAGCGUGCGCAGGCGGUCUGUUAAGACCGAUGUGAAAUCCCCGGGCUUAACCUGGGAACUGCAUUGGUGACUGGCAGGCUUUGAGUGUGGCAGAGGGAGGUAGAAUUCCACGUGUAGCAGUGAAAUGCGUAGAGAUGUGGAGGAAUACCGAUGGCGAAGGCAGCCUCCUGGGCCAAAACUGACGCUCAUGCACGAAAGCGUGGGGAGCAAACAGG